UAGGGAAUUUUCGUUCAAUGGGCGCAAGCCUGAACGAGCAAUGCCGCGUGAACGAGGAAGGUCUUCGGAUCGUAAAGUUCUGUUGAAGGGGAAAAGAGCGGAGAGAGGAAUGAACUCCGAUUGAUAUUACCCUUGAGGAAGUCACGGCUAACUACGUGCC
rnacentral:rRNA from 1 species